GACGAACGCUGGCGGCGUGCUUAACACAUGCAAGUCGAACGCUGAAGCCUAGCUUUUGUUGGGUGGAUGAGUGGCGAACGGGUGAGUAACACGUGAGUAACCUGCCCCCUUCUUUGGGAUAACGCCCGGAAACGGGUGCUAAUACUGGAUAUUCACUGAUCUUCGCAUGGGGGUUGGUGGAAAGGUUUUUUCUGGUGGGGGAUGGGCUCGCGGCCUAUCAGCUUGUUGGUGGGGUGAUGGCCUACCAAGGCUUUGACGGGUAGCCGGCCUGAGAGGGUGACCGGUCACAUUGGGACUGAGAUACGGCCCAGACUCCUACGGGAGGCAGCAGUGGGGAAUAUUGCACAAUGGGCGAAAGCCUGAUGCAGCGACGCCGCGUGAGGGAUGGAGGCCUUCGGGUUGUAAACCUCUUUCGCUCAUGGUCAAGCCGCAACAUUGGUUGUGGUGAGGGUAGUGGGUAAAGAAGCGCCGGCUAACUACGUGCCAGCAGCCGCGGUAAUACGUAGGGCGCUAGCGUUGUCCGGAAUUUUUUGGGCGUAAAUGGCUUGUAGGCGGUUGG
rnacentral:rRNA from 1 species